rnacentral:lncRNA from 1 species
UAUUAUAUAUACAUUAAAGAAAAAGAAAAAUAGACGAAUAUUAUUUACCUGUAGAUAAUAUUGAAAAUAUAUUAAUUUAAUUUGUUUUCUCUAAGACAAGAAAAAAAAAAGCUAAAAAAAAAUAUUUGUUUUGUAAAAUUCGUGUUAAAUGUUGCCCCACGUCCACUACCAAUUGCUACCUACAAUUACCACCACAAUAACCAACUCUAACAACAAUAACAACAACUGCUAAUUUCUUAAAGUAUAUAUUUGUCUCAAAGUCUGUCAAAAUCGUUUAAUUUCAGCAUUCGUGUAAAUGUUUUAUAAAUAAAGAAAUGAUUCAUAUUUAUUAUAUAAACAUAUAAAAACAAUAUAAAAUAUAUAACAGGAAAAAAAAAUACCAACAACUUAUGCUUCAAAUGUAUAUACAUAUAUAUGCUUAUAUAUAUAUAGGUAUGUUUAUAAUAUUUUGCUAAACUGUAUUGUAAAAGCUUAGUUCUUCUCUCUGAUAACUUUAUGCGUGAAAUCUUAAUUCCAAUGUGAUUAUAUUGCCGAACUCAAUUUUCAAUAACAACAUUUUUAAGGUAAGACUUCCUUCAUCUUAUUAUUUCUUAAUUGAAGGUUUCUUAACUGUGACGCAGCAACAGGUUUCUCUAACGAAUCAUCUAUGUUCUAUUAUCGUAUUAUUACACACAGUUUUCUUAGUAUUUGAAAGUACUAGUAUCGUAGCUUGGUGUAUUAGUGAGUCCAACUAUUAUCGGUACUUUGAAGUAUCCCUAAUUAUAGGUAACAUCAGUUAACUAUAUGUCUAUAUAUAUGUGUGUAUAUAUAUAUAUAUAUGAAUAUAUAUAUGUAUGUAUUUUUUAUGUAUAUAUAUGUGUGUGUGUGUGUGAAUGCGUGUGUGUGUGUAAGUGCAUGUAUAUAUAUGUAUAUAUGUAUAUAUAUAUAUAUAUUUACAUACACAUAUAAACAUAUAUAAUAUGCAUACAUGUAUACAUACACAUACAUAUACAUAUAUAUAUAUAUAUAUGAAUACAUAUGUAUGUAUAUAUAUAUAUUCACACAAAUAUAUAUGUUUAUGAAGUAAAAGUAAUAUUAUUAAUGCCUGUUCUAUAUGUGUAUGCGUAUGUAUGUGUAUAUGUAUAUGUAUAUAUAUACAUAUAUAUAUAUAUAUAUAUAUAUAUAUAUAUAUAUAUAUAUAUAUAUAUAUAUAUAUAUAUAUUAUAUAUAUAUAUAUAUAUAUAUACAUCUAUAUGUGUGUACACACGAGCACACACAUCUAUGUAUCUAUGUAUCUAUAGAUUUCUGAACUGAAUAAAACUUACUUAAGACGACAGGCGUUUUCUGUUUAAGUUUUUUGACCAUAGUUCACUAAUUUCCACGCGAAUUUUCUGUUGUGAUCUAUCAUCCAAUUUGCAUGAUUAUAUACGUGUAAUAAUGCUGUAGUAAGGUAUAAAUAUUGUGCACUCGUAUUUAACUAAGAAAUAUCGCUACAAGGAAGUUUGAAUUGAAUAUUGAACAAUCACCGUUUUGUGAUCAAAUGUCGACUUCUAUUAACCUCACGUCAUCGUACCUCAAUAGACGGUUAAACACACACACACACACACACACACACACACACAUAUAUAUAUAUAUAUAUACAUAUACGUACACGCGCUCCAACGCAUAGGCACACACUCGAGUGGAAGUGUGUGUGUGUGUUUGUGUGUGUGCAUCAAUAUCUCUCUGUGGAUGUUUGAAUAUAUAACGUUACAUAUAUACACAAACACCUUAAACAUCACUCACACCUGUAUAUAAAUCAGUAAGCGCUAUACACGAGUAAACUAUUAGUUGUAAAAUAUCUCUUGGUGUAUAUACAAUUUCUCUCUCUUUCUUUCUUUCUCUCUCUCUCUCUCUACACACACACACAUAUAUGUAUAUACAUAUUAUUGACAUGUAUAUAAAUAUCCAUAUAUCCACGUAUAUAUGUAUAUAUAUAUAUAUAUAUUUAUAUAUAUUUAUAUAUAUAUAUUUAUAUAUAUACAUAUAUAUAUAUAUAUAUAUAUAUAUAUGUAUAUAUAUAUAUACAUGUAUACGUAUAUAUGUAUAUUUUUAUAGAUGUAUAACUGUGUGCGUGUUCCUCUACAGAAGCUUACCUAUAUCUCUUUAUUGUACAUAAAUAUCAAUGGUACAGUGAAAGAAUGUGUGCUUCAGUGUACAUGUAUGUAUUUCGUUGCAUACAUACUAACACACACGCAAAUAUAUAUAUAUAUAUAUAUAUACACACACAUACGUGUAUACAUAUAUAUAUAUAUAUAUAUAUAUAUAUAUACACAUACAUAUAUAUAAAAAUAUAUAUAUACAUAUAUAUACAGCACACACGCACACACACAUUAACAUGUAUAUAUGUGUAUAUAUUUAUAUGUGUGCGUUUAUGUACGUAUCUAUGUAGGUAUGUAUGAAUCAUCCAGUAGUGAUGGUUUACGUUUUUCACUGUUGUAAAAGAGGCUUCAUGUUAUAAGAAUCCUUAUCAUGCAGGUGCCGGGAUUCGAAAGCGUGUUCUUCGUGAAUCAAUUGAAAUGUAUUGUUAAGUAGCGUUUCUUUCUGCAUCAGAAAACUACUGCUGACGGCUUGAUUUAAUAACGAUGAUUUCAAUAAAGUUGAUUUAUCCUUUUAUAGUAAGAAUUAUCUAAAUGAAUAUACAGUUUCAUAAAUAAAAAUUUAAUGACUGUAAAAUAAGGAAAAUAAUUGAAGAGUGGUUUAAAGUACUAAAAAAAAAAAAAAAAGAAAACUUCCGGCUUUAUCUAGGGUUUCUCGUAAACGGAGUGAUUGGUAAGGUUUUGACUUGUUGAUAUUGUUCUUUAACCCUUUAGACAUAUGUCAAAACCUGAUCGUGCAUUCAGUUCGAUCAGAGCCGUUCCAGCAUUCAUUUUAUUCUUAUUACACGUUAAAAUAGGACUUGUCGAGCAUUUAACCGCUAUUUCUAGGAGAUCCAUUAUCGUGUAAAGAUCGUCUCGUUGGAUCUGUAUGACAUGUAGCAGAAAUAUCAUAUUUAACAGGAAGUAUUAUUACUUCUUCACCUGUUAGAGUGUUGUAUCCGAUAUAAUAUCUUUUGGUUUCUAUAUCAACAGGUAGGAUUUGCGAUCGACCGGCAAUUGAAGAUAUAAGUUAUGUAGUAUAGAUAACCAACACUACUGUGUAUGGGUUUUGAUAUUUGUUGUGAUGUAAAUGGAUUUGGAGAUUUACUCGUAAAAUAACGUUAUCUUAUUUAUCAAAAUAUUAGAAAUGAAAACGAUGUUACGUUCUGAAGAAAUUGAAUUUUAAUUUUUAUCGGUAUUCACUGCAUAAAAUUUGUUUCGUUUGAAUUAUCACGGCGUCCUGUAUCUUUAAGAAAAGGUGAAAGUUGGAAUGAAAUGUCAAAAUUUGCAAGAUUUUGUACCGAAAUGCACUACGUGUGUCAAAUAUGAUUGGAAAUUACUUCAGUGAGAAUCGAAACUGUCUCACAGUACCGGCUUAAGAGAGCUUACUACUCGGUCUACGUGCUUGAUGAUCGUUAGAAGAAUUUUAAUGGAUAUAUGACUGAUAUUUAACUGAUAUUUAUUAAUUUCUUAUGAGUUCUGUCUGUGGAAGACUACACGUUGUGUUUGUUUCAUAAGAUGUUUUUCACUAAACAGAGCGUCAUGGCUGAAUUAUAUGCGUGGACUAGUGCUGUUGUUAUUAACAAUAUUUGUAAAAAUGUAAGAUUUUGUUGAGCUAUAUAUCCUAUAAUCAUAACAGUGGAGGCGCAAUGGCCCAGUGGUUAGGGCAGCGGACUCGCGGUCAUAGGAUCGCGGUUUCGAUUCCCAGACCGGGCGUUGUGAGUGUUUAUUGAGCGAAAACACCUAAAGCUCCCCGAGGCUCCGGCAGGGGAUGGUGGUGAUCCCUGCUGUACUCUUUCACCACAACUUUCUCUCACUCUUACUUCCUGUUUCUGUUGUACCUGUAUUUCAAAGGGCCGGCCUUGUCACUCUCUGUGUCACGCUGAAUAUCCCCGAGAACUACGUUAAGGGUACACGUGUCUGUUUGAGUGCUCAGCCACUUACACGUUAAUUUCACGAGCAGGCUGUUCCGUUGAUCGGAUCAACCGGAACCCUCGUCGUCGUAACCGACGGAGUGCUUCCAUAUGCGUGGACUAGAGCUGUUGUUAUUAACAAUAUUUGUAAAAAUGUAAGAUUUUGUUGAGCUAUAAAUCCUAUAAUCAUAACACACAUUGUAAAGGUCGGUUGGACAGAGAAGUGGCUCAAUGCUAGGGAAUCAACUCUAAUUGCUUGUUUGAGAAACAUAAACAAAUGCCAAAACAGUUUAGUGUUUUUAUACUGAGUUGUUGGAAAACUUACUACUAACAUAUAAAAUAUUAUUCUGAAAGAUAAAAUUGCAUGACUAUUCUUUCUCUCUUUCUCUUUCUCUUUUACUUGUUUCAGUCAGUUGACUGCGGCCAUGCUGGAGCACCGCCUUUAGUCGAGCAAAUCGACCCCGGGACUUAUUCUUUAUACCAAGUACUUAUUCUAUCGGUCUCUUUUUGCCGAACCGCUAAGUGACGGGGACGUAAACACACCAGCAUCGAUUGUCAAGCAAUGCUAGGGGGACAAACACAGACACACAAACACACAUACAUAUAUAUAUAUAUAUACAUAUAUACGACAGGCUUCUUUCAGUUUCCGUCUACCAAAUCCAUUCACAAGGCAUUGGUCGGCCUGGGGCUAUAGCAGAAGACACUUGCCCAAGAUGCCACGCAGUGGGACUGAACCCGGAACCAUGAGGUUGGUUAGCAAGCUACUUACCACACAGCCACUCCUGCGCCUGUAUUCUAUGUAUUUAUUUUUAUUAAUGGAUCCAGUUUUUGAACUGAGACGACUGUGUGGUACACUUCUCAUAUAUACAUCCAACUAUAUAUUCAUCCAUAUAUCUAUCAAUCCAGCCGUCGAUUUUAUAUGUAUAUACGCACACACACAUAAACACACGUAUGUUUAUACACACGCGAAUAUGCAGUUUAAUUAUUCAGU